CAGCCAAUUAGUCGACUUUGACUUCAAGAUUGGCGGGCGCAGUUUUUGCAUUUCCCAUUAUACAGAAACACGCCAAUUCUAAUUCUAAAUAUACUAAAGACCAUGUUUCUGAGCUGAAUUGACACAGAGUGGGGGUUGAUUGGUUCGAUUAGGUUUUGGGUGUCCACCAUUUGAUUCGAAAGUUUGGUUUGUCUGAGGAAUUUGUAUUUGAUUGAUUGCAGAUAGAGGUUUUUCUCUUCUUCUUUUCUGUGUUGCAAGUGUAGUGCCUGCCUGCCUGCCUCUGUCUUUCUCCGUCUGGAAGCUGUGGUAGAAAAGAGAAGAAGAGGGAUUGAAAUCGGUAAGGUUCUAAAGUUUGAUUGAAAUCAGUAAGGUUCGAAAGUUUGAAGCUGUGGUGGAAAGGAGAAGAAGAGGGAUUGAAAUCGUUCUAAAUAUUGUUCACUGGAAUAUCUAGGAAAGAAGAAUAGGGACUGAAAUCGACGAACAGAUGAAUUAGCUAGAUUUUGACCGGAAACCUCACUGACUGUACACACAACUCCAUCCAUUCAAGAAAAAACUCCAUCAACAGCUAUUUCAGGAGCAUACUUCAAUUCAAUUUAUGCAUUGUAAUACAAAAUUUUGGCCAAAAUGUACUUCACAAUUCCUCUGGAAUUUUUCCCUGCGUGCCUUGCACAAAAAUUUCUAGUAUCUAAUUCUAUAAUAUUAACAACAUUACCAUCCAUUCAAGCAA